GGACCUACGGGACGAAGCAGUAGGGAAUAAUUCAAAAUGGGAGAAAGCCUGAUGGAGCAACGCCGCGUGGGUGAAGAAGGUCUUCGGAUCGUAAAACCCUGUUGUUAGAGAAGAAAGUGCGUGAGAGUAACUGUUCACGUUUCGACGGUAUCUAACCAGAAAGCCACGGCUAACUACGUGCCGGCAGCCGCGGUAAUACGUAGGUGGCAAGCGUUAUCCGGAUUUAUUGGGCGUAAAGGGAACGCAGGCGGUCUUUUAAGUCUGAUGUGAAAGCCUUCGGCUUAACCGGAGUAGUGCAUUGGAAA
rnacentral:rRNA from 1 species